UAGUACUACUAGUAGUACUACUACUAGUAGCACUACUACUAGUAGUACUAGCACAAGUACUUGUAUUUGAAGUACUAGUUCUAGUACUAGUAGUACUAC
rnacentral:tRNA from 1 species